UUUAUGGAGAGUUUGAUCCUGGCUCAGGAUGAACGCUGGCGGCGUGCCUAAUACAUGCAAGUCGAGCGAACGGACGAGAAGCUUGCUUCUCUGAUGUUAGCGGCGGACGGGUGAGUAACACGUGGAUAACCUACCUAUAAGACUGGGAUAACUUCGGGAAACCGGAGCUAAUACCGGAUAAUAUUUUGAACCGCAUGGUUCAAAAGUGAAAGACGGUCUUACUGUCACUUAUAGAUGGAUCCGCGCUGCAUUAGCUAGUUGGUAAGGUAACGGCUUACCAAGGCAACGAUGCAUAGCCGACCUGAGAGGGUGAUCGGCCACACUGGAACUGAGACACGGUCCAGACUCCUACGGGAGGCAGCAGUAGGGAAUCUUCCGCAAUGGGCGAAAGCCUGACGGAGCAACGCCGCGUGAGUGAUGAAGGUCUUCGGAUCGUAAAACUCUGUUAUUAGGGAAGAACAUAUGUGUAAGUAACUGUGCACAUCUUGACGGUACCUAAUCAGAAAGCCACGGCUAACUACGUGCCAGCAGCCGCGGUAAU
rnacentral:rRNA from 1 species